rnacentral:rRNA from 1 species
CUGAGGCGUGACGACGAGGCACUACGGUGCUGAAGCAACAAAUGCCCUGCUUCCAGGAAAAGCCUCUAAGCAUCAGGUAACAUCAAAUCGUACCCCAAACCGACACAGGUGGUCAGGUAGAGAAUACCAAGGCGCUUGAGAGAACUCGGGUGAAGGAACUAGGCAAAAUGGUGCCGUAACUUCGGGAGAAGGCACGCUGACACGUAGGUGAAGUGAUUUACUCAUGGAGCUGAAGUCAGUCGAAGAUACCAGCUGGCUGCAACUGUUUAUUAAAAACACAGCACUGUGCAAACACGAAAGUGGACGUAUACGGUGUGACGCCUGCCCGGUGCCGGAAGGUUAAUUGAUGGGGUCAGCGCAAGCGAAGCUCCUGAUCGAAGCCCCGGUAAACGGCGGCCGUAACUAUAACGGUCCUAAGGUAGCGAAAUUCCUUGUCGGGUAAGUUCCGACCUGCACGAAUGGCGUAAUGAUGGCCAGGCUGUCUCCACCCGAGACUCAGUGAAAUUGAACUCGCUGUGAAGAUGCAGUGUACCCGCGGCAAGACGGAAAGACCCCGUGAACCUUUACUAUAGCUUGACACUGAACAUUGAGCCUUGAUGUGUAGGAUAGGUGGGAGGCUUUGAAGUGUGGACGCCAGUCUGCAUGGAGCCGACCUUGAAAUACCACCCUUUAAUGUUUGAUGUUCUAACGUGGACCCGUUACCCGGGUUGCGGACAGUGUCUGGUGGGUAGUUUGACUGGGGCGGUCUCCUCCUAAAGAGUAACGGAGGAGCACGAAGGUUGGCUAAUCCUGGUCGGACAUCAGGAGGUUAGUGCAAUGGCAUAAGCCAGCUUGACUGCGAGCGUGACGGCGCGAGCAGGUGCGAAAGCAGGUCAUAGUGAUCCGGUGGUUCUGAAUGGAAGGGCCAUCGCUCAACGGAUAAAAGGUACUCCGGGGAUAACAGGCUGAUACCGCCCAAGAGUUCAUAUCGACGGCGGUGUUUGGCACCUCGAUGUCGGCUCAUCACAUCCUGGGGCUGAAGUAGGUCCCAAGGGUAUGGCUGUUCGCCAUUUAAAGUGGUACGCGAGCUGGGUUUAGAACGUCGUGAGACAGUUCGGUCCCUAUCUGCCGUGGGCGCUGGAGAACUGAGGGGGGCUGCUCCUAGUACGAGAGGACCGGAGUGGACGCAUCACUGGUGUUCGGGUUGUCAUGCCAAUGGCACUGCCCGGUAGCUAAAUGCGGAAGAGAUAAGUGCUGAAAGCAUCUAAGCACGAAACUUGCCCCGAGAUGAGUUCUCCCUGAGACUUUAGGUCUCCUGAAGGAACGUUGAAGACGACGACGUUGAUAGGCCGGGUGUGUAAGCGCAGCGAUGCGUUGAGCUAACCGGUACUAAUGAACCGUGAGGCUUAACCUU